rnacentral:lncRNA from 1 species
GUGAUUCUACCCAAACAUUCAACCGGAGGUCUUGCCCGUGGAGCAUAAAUUGCUCGGACCCUUGAUGCGGUUGUUUUGUUUUUGUUUCAUUUGGUAUCGUUCAGGUGCUGCCCCUUUCUAUCACAUUGUAUCCUGAUCACCGUACUCGUUGCUGAGAACGGUUGCCGGAUCUUAUAAUCUCGCUUUGAAGAAAUGAAUUUGUUUAGGUGGGCUUCCUUAGCUCCGUUGACUUUUUAAAAAAAAUUAUAACGUCUGCCCUAGUUUUGUGAAGUGAUUUUCAUGUUUUCACUUAGCAAGUUGCUUCCAUAAUCUAUGCAAUUUCCGUACUAGCCCUACCGACACUUGACGCUCACAGGCUUGUACGUAUCCUUGCACUAUAUAAUCCCCAUC